GAUUGAAGACGAUGAAGCUUCGACUCAGGUUGAAGACUUUAUUCUCAGGUUGCAGAAUGGUGGUUUUGGUGUAGAAUCAUGGUGGAGAAAAGAGUUGCAAAAGUGCAUAAAAAAAAGAAUGGCAAAAGUGUAGAAGAAUUUUUUUAGCAGUGGAUAGAAAAUUUCAUUUGAUCUGCAGUGAGGUAUAUUAUGAUUUUUAUUUUUUGGGUUGAAAUGGAAUUGAUGUUAGAAAAUUGGUGUGGGAUUACUUGAAACUGUUAGUGAAUAUGUUUUGUAAGUGUUAGCACAUUUGUUUGAAUUGAAUUUGUGAUGCUGUUAGAACUUAUUAGGAUGAAACCUUGGAUAUGUCAUGCUAUCAAACUGAAACCUAAUUGCAAAAUAUAUUAAAGUAGCUAGCUACAUGUUAGAAGUCGAAAAAUGUUAGUGAGUUAGAAUGAUGGUUAUAGUAUUCUUGGUGUUAGACAGUUAGUAGGAAGUUGGUUUGGUUGCAUGUUGAAUCUUCGUGCUAGUAAAUGCUAGAACUACGCUAUUUAGCUCAAAUAUGUUGGAAGUGUACUGAAAUGGUUAAUUGUUUGUAUCUUAAUUCAAAUAGAAGUGCCUUUCUAGGAGUAUCAAUGUAAAUAGGUCGAUGGUGUUUUAAUUUGGAUUGUAAUUGCUAGGUAUAAAUUAUUGACUUUUGUUAGCAAUGCUAAUUAGGAUGUGGUACCAUUUAUACUUAGACCUUGAAAAAUAAUGGCUUUGCUUAGAAUUUAAAUCAAUAAUUUUUAAAAUAUUGAUUGAUUUAUAAUGAAUUCAUAAGAAUUUUUAAAAUAAGUUUUUUCAACCACAUUCAUAACUAAAAAACCUUGGUUCAAAGUCUAGUGUUAUUUUCUAACUCGAUUAGUUUUAUAAAUGUAAAUUCAAAUAUUUUCUCAAAUCAAUAUGAUUUUUAGGAACUUUAUUUUAUUUAGACUUUGGAUGAAAAGGAGUAUAGUAAGCAUCCGCUUCACCAUCUCUCGAAUAUUCGAACAAUUGGCGUUCGCCAUAUUGCUUGAAUUCUCGUCGUCAUUUCUAAUCCAUUUAAGCACAAACAAAUCAAAUCCUUUUAUAACAAGAAACCAAAAGGGAGAUAACUUUGAGUCUUCAAUUUUUUCUCCACGACUAUUUGAAUACAAGUUCUCUUACUUGGUCAGUCAAAUAAUUGUUGUUCCUCUACAAACUUUCUAAACCCCUAUUAAAAUCAAAUUAUUUUCAUGAUAAGUUAAAUGAAAAGGGAGAUAACUUUGAGUUUUCAACCUCUCUCCCCAAUUGUUUGAAUACGAGUUCUCUUACUCGGUCAGUCGAACAAUUGUCAUUUUUCCGCUAAUUAAUAAAUCAAUCAAAACUGUACGAAAAGGGAAAUGGUCUUGAGUUUUCAAUUCCUCUUCUCAAAUGCUUGAAUAUGAGUUGUCUUAUUCAGUCAUUCAAGUACUUGUCGUUCAUUCUAAAAUACGUCAACCAUACAUAAUCCAUUUUCACAAUCACUCAGAUGAAAAAGAAAAUGGUCUAGAGUCUUCUAUUCCCUUUCCCGAUUAUUAGGAUACGAGUUGUCUUACUCGACUAUCCGAGUAUUCGUCAUUCAUUCAAAACACCUUAAUCAUCAUUAAAUCCUUUUAUAAUUAAGGAUGAAAACAGAAAGUGGUUUAGAGUCUUCUAUUCCCUUUCCCGAUUAUUAGGAUACGAGUUGUCUUACUCGACCGUCCGAGUAAUCAUCAUCCAUUCAAAAUACCUUAACUAUUAUCAACUGCCUUAACUAUUAUCAACUCCUUUCGUAAUAAAGGAUGAAAAAGGAGACGGUCUAGAGCAUUCGAUUCCUCUCCUCGACUAUUAGGAUACGAGUUGUUUUACUCGACCAUCCGAGUAAUCGUCAUCCAACCAAAAAUCUCAACACAACCAAUCUAUCUUUUCUCGCCCUCGUGCGAUCGAAAUCAAACAAAACAUCCAACAUAUUAAUUCAACUUGUCACCCUCGUGUGAUCAAAACUCUUUUUAAAAAGUACACUAUUUAAUCCUUUCUGAUGCGCGCAACAAACUAAUACUUAAGCCUCCGCCGAGAGUAGACAAGCCAACGUUUAGCCUUUAGAAUAUGAUCUAAACAGUUGUUCAUUAAAAAAAACACCAACCAACCGUAGUUCCCCGAACUACAAAUGCUCUGAUUUCCUUAUUUAAGGAUACGUAGGAAGGAGAUUGUUGUAUCUUCACGAGCACACUAAUAAAAAAACCUCCCCUUUCCCUUUCUGAGGUUCUUAUCCAUUUCUAUUUUUUUUAUAAUUUUAUAACCCAAAGAUAACAAACAAACAUAAAUUAACACUCGAAACACAAAUUAGAACUAAAAGGUUCCCACUGAGUACAGCGGACGUAAGGGGUGCUAAUACCUUCGUCUUGCGUAAUCCACUCCCGAACCCGAAUAUGGUUGCGACGACCAUUAUUCCAUUUCCUAAAGGUUUUAUCGAUAUUUUCCUAUCCCUUUGUUGGGAUGAAUAAAGUUCGGUGGCGACUCUGUUCGAACGUAAUUUUUUCCGCGACCAUCGCGAGGAAUCAUAUUUUUCGAGAUGCGACAGAUGGCGACUCUACUGGGGAUUAGCUUCAAGCAAAAAAGAGUGAAGCCUAAUUUAGUUCAGUUUCUGUAUUGUGUGUUAAUCUUGUUUGUUUAUCUGUUAUCUUUUAUUCUGUCAUUAUUAUUCUGUCAUAAUUAUUAUAUUGUGAUUUAUUAACUAUGUCUUAUUUGGGGUUCUCUGGUUGGUGAUACUUUGUGAGAUAGGCUCUCCACCCGAGUCUGAGAAAAACCAUAAGAUUAAGUUGGUGGUCGCGUAGUGGCCACCCACAAGGAGUCUUCCUUGUUGGGAAGAAACGAAGACCCUGCCUAGAGGAGAUUCUCUUGAGAUAUUAUUGCCCGACGAGUCUUCGUCACGACGAUAGUAUUCUCAAGUUGGAUCAAUGACUCUAGGGACCUUUUAACCCAUUAUAUCCGGUGGUUAUGUAGUAUCUACCUGAAAAACCGACGAGUCUUCGUCACGACGAUAGUAUUCUCAAGUUGGAUCAAUGACUCUAGGGACCUUUUAACCCAUUAUAUCCGGUGGUUAUGUAGUAUCUACCUGAAAAGUCCCAGACUUAUUGGGUUAAUACGAAAGCCUCAAUCAGAUGAGAUCCCUUGGACGUGUUACUAUCUUACAGUAAUAUUUCCAACCUCGAUCUAUGACUCUGAGAACCUUGUUAGAACCUUGGACUCGAGAGUCGUGUAGUAGAAUCCUCAUGCAGUUUUUCUUGUUUGGAUAAUACGAAGACCUCGCCUAGACGAGAUCUUCUUAAGGAUAUUAUUGUCCGACGAGUCUUCGUCACGGCAGUGACGUCCUCAAGAAAUAUCCAUGACUCUGGGAACCUACCAACUGUAGAGCCUACCCAUGUGGUUCCUUUAAUCAAAGAUACCUAUCAUUCACCCGUUAUUCUGAUCCAUCUAAGAACGCUUUGAACCUAUGAUCCUAAACAUGUCACUACAUUCAUACACAUAUCAUUGCAUUUGCAUUCAUCAUCAUACAUUUUUUUCACCAAAAAAAUAAAUACAAAAAAACUCAUCCAUCCUUCUUCCAUCACCUACAGUUGAUUUCCCGACACUUAUAUCAGACUUGAAGUAGCUCUUGAAAAACCAUGGAUCCAUUGGAGCAAAGUCACAUUGCAUUAAGAGGAGAUGUUGACUCGAUGAAAAACCAGAUAUACCAACUUGUGGAGGCUAUGAUAGCUUUAGAAAAGAGGGAGGACAACAUUCAGCAGACUGCAGUCGUAGAGAAUGUUAUUCCAGCUCCAGUAAAUGGUACUACCCAACCUCUACCCACCUGGAUAUGAUCCUGAUGUGCAAUGUGGAUAUCAUGCCGGAACAAUAGGGCAUUCAACUGAAGACUGCAAUGCUUUCAAGGCUAAAGUGCAACAAUUGAUCGACAAAAGGUACAUAUCCUUUUCAGAAGGAAGCCUGUUGGUGCACGUUAACCUCUCGUCAGAAUGAGUUUGAAGAUUUCAUAGAGUAUCUCCUAAUGCUAGUAGUUCAGACAGGAAGACAUCCUCAACACUGGCAAUCAUUGGACUAAUUUGUUUCUAUUUUUGCAUUUGUGGUUUCUUUGUUGUUAAAGGCUGCUUGUGUUUAAACAUUGUUUGUUUUUAAUGGUAAUAUUGAUGAAGUAAUGAUGCAUGUUUUGAAUUAAUCAUAUCGCAUUCGCUCAUUUUUCUUCUCUUAUAUCAAAAACAAAAAAAAAAUACAUCAGUAUUUCUCCCAUUCACUUUUCUUUAUCAUAACUUUUGUUUUAGCAAAGAUUUGAGGGAGGAUGGCAAAAACAAAAUACCCAUAAUUGUUGACUAUAUGCUUUCGGAUAAAAUCCUGCUGAUGAUGUACAGGCAUUGUUUCAAAUUCCCAAACACUGGAGAGAUAAGGAGUUAAUCCCUAGUCAAACACUUCGAGCCUAGAAGUAGAUGUUUCUUUCGAAUAUACAAACCCUUAUGUUUAAACCCGAGGCAGGGUAGUGUUCAGUUAAUCUGACUAUGCAUUCAAAUUACAAGAUGAAAUAUCCAGUCUGAGGAUCAACCACAUGAUAUUCUUCGCACACAUCUUGAAGUGUCGAAGGAACUUUGCAAAAUCCAAAAAGUUAUGUUAGUUGUUCUCCGAAUGACCAUUGACUUGGCAAUCACAAAUUUUCAAAAAAAAGAAUCAAAGAAAAGCCCGCUAAGUCGAUACCCCAAAAGGAGACUUAGGCAAAAACCGGGGCAAUCCCGAUGGACUAAAGCUUCAAAAAGUGGUCCAUGCAAAAGUUAGGGAUCAAAACAAAAAUCGAAAGAGGUCACAAAAACCCUCAACAAAAUAAAAACAAGAUUUAGUGACCACCAUAUCAAGAAUCAAAGGGUCACCAAUAUCCAUGAAGAGCAAAAUAAAGUGUUUGUCAUUUCAAGAGAUCUUACACCUGUAAACUCUCUUAAAAGUUUAAUGUGCAUGGUGAAUUAACUGAGCGUAGGAUUGGAGAUCAUCAUGAAGAAGGGGUGGGUUAAAAUAAACUUCGAGCCUUAUAUCCUUUUGUUUCAAUAACCACGAACCAAGCCACAUUACAACCCUCAAAAGACCUAAUUGAGGUAGGGUUAUUUCCGAAAGCAUAUCACAACAAAGUUGCAUAAACUGACUCCUAAAGAUUUGUUAAUAUUCAACAUCAAUGUCAUUAUUCUCGUUGUGUCUUUCACACUUUAAAUUGCUAAAUCAGCAUUACAUUUGGACUCAUGGUCCACUCGUCACACAAUAUCAUAUCAUUUCAAUAAUAAUUCUUUUCAAAACUUGCAUGAGUAUCGCAUUGAAAUUACCAUUUCUUAACAAAACGAUUUUAACUGCAAGACAGUACUUGACGUUAGGGAAAUUCCAACAAUAAGGAACAAUCAAAGGAACUUGGACAUUCGUUAGUGCUGACCUGAAUCAAGACUACCUCACAACCUAUGAAUCUGAGAUAUGCCACCAAAACAUCAAGUUGAUCAUAGAAAAAUUACUCCAAGAAUUGGUCAGUCUUAAACAAUCUCCAAACAUCUGUUAAUCAGGGGUAAGUCAUUUCAAGAAUCAGUUGAUCCAGAGCAAAUCAUCUUAGGACUCUAUUAACUAGGGGCAUAUCACCUAGUGGUUCUGUUGGCCAGGGGCAGACCCCUUCAAUAUUCAGUUAGGGUGAGUUAAGUCGCUUCAACGCUCAUACCGGGGCAAGCUACCUCAAGAGCACAGAAAAGUCAACCACUCCAAGAGUCGGUUAAACCAAGGAUAAAUCUUUCAUGGAUCAAAUUCUAGGCAAUCCAUCUCCAAAUUAUGGUACAAUUGCUUUAAAAUCCUUUAGAGGUAAACAUUUUGCAUAAGACCCAUCACAUUGGGGCAAGAUGAGCAUACAGGAGCGAGUCCUCUCCGUGUUUCAGGCAGUUCAAGAAAAGCUUUUUCGCAAGUCAGCAAACGCAGAGUUCAAGAUGAGUGUCGGGGAAUCAUGCUACCACCCCAUAAAUAAACCUUUGACAGUAUAAUGCUUUCUGGAAAGAACCUUCUCUUCCAAUACCCACGCACUGGGCAUUGAAACCUGCCAAAUCCAUUACUAAUCAUCAUCAUGCAUUGCUCAUGUCACUUUGCUCUAAGAUAAAACCAUGCAUAUCAUAAAAUUCAUCGGGUCUAACCCCAUAACAUGAACCUGGCAUCAAAAAGCCUUGAAACACAAAAUCUGACACCAAAGCCCAACGUCGCUUGGCAAUUCAAAGUCCAAUUCUCAUUUGGCAAUUUAUUUCAAAGCCCAGUUCCCGUCUGGCAAACCUUUUCAAAGUCCAGUUCUCGUCUGGCAAAUUAUUUCAAAUCCCAGUUCCCGUCUGACAAUUUAUUUCAAAUCCCAGUUCCCGUCUGACAAUUUAUUACAAAGCCCAGUUCCCGUCUGGCAAUUUAUUUCAAAGCCCAGUUCCCGUCUGACAAUUUAUUUCAAAGUCCAAUUCUCGUCUGGCAACUUAUUCCAAAGUCCAGUUCUCGUCUGGCAAACUAUAUCAAAAAUCAGUUCUUGUACGAUAAAUCAUUUGCCAAAUACCAGCUCUCUUCUGGUAAAUUAUCUCCUAAUACCAGUUCUCGUCUGGUAGGUCAUCUAUUUCGAUACCAGUUCUCGUUUGGUAGUCAAUUAUUUUAACCAGUUCUCGUCUGGUAGCCUAUUUUAAAAGUCAGUUCCCGUCUGACAAACAAAAACAAAGUCAGUCUCGUCUGACAUUUCAUUUAUUUUCACCAGUUCUCGUCUGGUGACAUAUACUUCAAGUUCUGUUCUCAUCUGACAAUUCAAUAUUGUUCACUAAUUCUCACCUGGAAGUUCCCAUUUAAAGUCCAACCUCAUUGGCAAUCAAGAAUUAAACCCUACAAAAGAAUCCAAUUACCCAGUUGCAUUCCCACAUGCAUCACACGAAUCAACCAUACAUGGUUUUCCUACCAAACAGAAGAAAAAAAACACAAUCAUAUCCAUCAUCAGCAUACUCAUGCAUGACACUCCCACAAAAGGGGAAUUUCAACAAAAUAAAAAUCAUUCGCAUCCCUACAUGCACAACCAAAUAUCCCCAGCAAUUGCAUACUUGCAUACAUCUCAUGCAUCAUCCGAUGCAUAGUACUGCCACUCAAAGUGGGACAUCACACAAAAAUCACACCAAAAUAUCAGGAUCCGAUGUCAUUCAUGUAUAUCUUGGACAUUCCUCAUUUCCAAAUGAAGUUAUUACCCUGCAUAUGCUCGUGGGAUUAUUUCUCAGCAGAUCAUUUUUCAAACUUUAUGAUUAAUAAUGAUAUUCCCAACAUUUUUCUUUACAAUCAUUGCUCCCCAAGCAAAGGUUACCCUAACAUGUCUCUUAUGAGCUUUUCCCCCUGCAGAGCAUUUCUAGUAAAUCUCCCUCAAAAGGAGUCCUUUCUUAAAAAUUUCCCCCAAUAGACGAACAGUCGAGAUACUACUUCAUUCAUCUGAAGAAUCUCAUUUAUUUGUUUGAGAUACUGCUUCAUUUAUCUGAAUAAUCUCAUUUAUAUGUUUGAGAUACUGCUCUAAGUAUCCUCGAAGAGUCUUAGAUUCAAUUAAGGUAUUUUUCCCUUGCUGGAAUAUCUUAAUUCUAUCAUAUAAGAUGUUGUUUCGACCCGAUACAGAGAAUCUCAUUUUUACUAUUUGAGAUGCUGCUUCAUCAAUAUGAAGAGUCUCAUUUCAGAUUUUUUUUAGAGAUAUUGCUCUAAGUAUCCUCGGAGAGUCUUAGAUUCAAUUAAGGUAUCAUUCCCUUGUUCGGAAUAUCUUAAUUCUAUCAUAUAAGACGCUGCUUCGACUCGAUACAGAGAGUCUCAUUUUUACUGUUUGAGAUGCUGCUUCAUCAAUAUGAAGAGUCUCAUUUCAGAUUUUUAGAGAUACUGCUCUAAUAUCCUCAGAGAGUCUUAGAUUCAAUUAAGGUAUCAUUCCCUUGUUCAGAAUAUCUUAAUUCUAUGAUAUAAGAUGUUGUUUCGACUCGAUACAGAGAAUCUCAUUUUUACUGUUUGAGAUGCUGCUUCAUCAAUAUGAAGAGUCUUAUUUCAGAUUUUUUUUUCUUAGAGAUACUGCUCUAAGUAUCCUCGGAGAGUCUUAGAUUCAAUUAAGGUAUCAUUUCCUUGUUCGGAAUAUCUUAAUUCUAUCAUAUAAGAUGCUACUUCGACUCGAUACAGAGAGUCUCAUUUUUACUGUUUGAGAUGCUGCUUCAUCAAUAUGAAGAGUCUCAUUUCAGAUUUUUAGAGAUACUGCUCUAAUAUCCUCGGAGAGUCUUAGAUUCAAUUAAGGUAUCAUUCCCUUGUUCGGAAUAUCUUAAUUCUAUCAUAUAAGAUGCUGCUUCGACUCGAUAUAGAGAAUCUCAUUUUUACUGUUUGAGAUGCUGCUUCAUCAAUAUGAAGAGUCUCAUUUCAGAUUUUUCUUAGAGAUACUACUAUAAUAUCCUUGGAGAGUCUUAGAUUCAAUUAAGGUAUCAUUCCCUUGUUCGGAAUAUCUUAAUUCUAUCAUAUAAGAUGUUGUUUCGACCUGAUACAAAGAAUCUCAUUUUUACUGUUUGAGAUGCUGCUUCAUCAAUAUGAAGAGUCUCAUUUCAGAUUUUUUUUCUUAGAGAUACUGCUCUAAGUAUCCUCGGAGAGUCUUAGAUUCAAUUAAGGUAUCAUUCCCUUGUUCGGAAUAUCUUAAUUCUAUCAUAUAAGAUGUUGUUUCGACCCGAUACAGAGAAUCUCAUUUUUACUGUUUGAGAUGCUGUUUCGACCCGAUACAGAGAAUCUCAUUUUUACUGUUUGAGAUGCUGCUUCAUCAAUAUGAAGAGUCUCAUUUCAGAUUUUUUUUAGAGAUACUGCUCUAAUAUCAUCGGAGAGUCUUAGAUUCAAUUAAGGUAUUUUUCCCUUGCUGGAAUAUCUUAAUUCUAUCCUAUAAGAUGCUGUUUCGACCCGAUACAGAGAAUCUCAUUUUCCUGUUUGAGAUACUGCUUCAUUUAUCUGAAGAAUCUCAUUUAUCUAUUCGAGAUACUACUUCAUUUAUCUGAAGAAUCUCAUUUUAUCUGUUUGAGAUACUGCUUCAUUUAUCCGAAGAAUCUCAUUUGUCUGUUUGAGAUAUUGUUUCAUUCAUUUGAAGAAUCUCAUUUGUUUUCAAGAUACUGCUCCAGUAUCCUCGGAGAAUCUUAGAUAUGAUUGAGGUAUCAUUCCCUUGUUGGAAUAUCUCGAUUAUAUCAUGUAAGAAACUGCUAUGUUGAUCCCCAAAGAAUAUCAUGUUUUCUGUUCAAGACAAUGUUCUGCUAAUUUUCAAAAAGUCUUAGAUACCGUUGAGGUGUCACUCUAUUGUUGGAAUAUCUCAAUCAUGGCAUCCAAGAUUUUGUUCCGAUGAUUCCCAGAGAGUCUUGACUGUUUCAUUUACCUUCUAAUAAAAACCUUUUCUUACUGUAUUUCUCACUGCAUUUUUUUUGCAUUUCUUUCUUGCAUUAAAGGACAAAAUUUGGGUCUUUUCGUAUUUAAUUACAUUCCACUACGAAUGUAUGAAGACUGUUGUCAUUCUUACCUUCUAGUUCAAGAUAAUGAAAUAGGGGCAGCUGUCAUACCCCAAUUUUGUCUGGGCAUAUUUAAAUUUUUAUAAAACCGAUUUCAUUUUUAAUUUGCAUCAUAUGCACAGCAUGACAUGCAUUCCAUCAUAAAUAAUAACUAAAAUAUCAGUCAGAAUAAAUUUAUUGAAAACACAGACAAAUCGGCUGAAUCAUUUCUCAAGAACAUGCAAAAUCAGCGGAUAAAAAGUUUCAAAAUUAAAAUUGUAGACGCCAGUAUUAUAAAUCUACGGUUCGCGUAGUUUAACCUGGUAUGCUCGUUGCAUUUUCCGACGACUUAUACAGCUGCAUUUUAAACCGUUUGAGCCUUUUAACCGUUGAAAAUUUAUUUCAAAAUUUAAAGAAAUGUUGUAUUUUUUCAAUAAGUAUAUUUAGUGUUGAUCAUUUUAAUGCAUUCAAUUUAAUUUUUCGAGCACUUUCACGCCUGAUUUUUGUUAUUUUAAAUUCUUUCAUUUUUAUUUUUAAAUUAAAUGUUAAGAUAACACAAGAAUAAAUAAAACAAUUGAUUAGUUAUUUGUUUUUUAAUAAAAAAUAUUAAUUCUAUCUCAUUAAUUUGUUUGGAGUUUAUUUUUAUUUAAAGGUUAGUAUGGGAAGUUAAUAAAAGGAGAAAACCUAUAAACCUACACUAUAUAAGGUAACGCAGGGAAUGGAAGAAAGGAAGAAAAAGAAACCCAUUGGCCAAAGAGCGCCGCACACGACACCGUCAUCUUCCACACUCUCACGAAAAUCCACAAAUCGAAAUCCUCUCCUCUUUCUUGAAGCUCUCUAAAAAACACUAAAACAACUUCUUCUUUUUCCUUAAAUCGUCUGUCGGAAACCCGUCGUCGACGAUCCUUCUUCAACCUUCCACACAACAACCAUAAACCCCAACUACUUCAUCCCUUCACUCUCAACCUUGCGCCAUUACGACUCUCCACCGCCGAAAUCUCUUUCUCCCUAACUUUCUUCGAAACUGUCGGUGAUAACGAACCGUCAAACACCACACCUUUCCGGUCCCCUCUCCCUCGUACUCACGUUGUCUCCGUCACGCCGGUAUUGUCUUUGAUGACGGCGAUGAUUAAAUCGUUUCCAUAAUCACACGGAAAGGACCGAUUGAAGACGAUAAAGCUUCGACUCAGGUUGAAGACUUUAUUCUCAUGUUGCAGAAUGGUGGUUUUGGUGUAGAAUCAUGGUGGAGAAAAGAAUUGCAAAAGUGCAUAAAAAAAAGAAUGGCAAAAGUGUAGAAGAAUUUUUUUAGCAGUGGAUAGAAAAUUUCAUUUGAUCUGCAGUGAGGUAUAUUAUGAUUUUUAUUUUUUGGGUUGAAAUGGAAUUGAUGUUAGAAAAUUGGUGUGGGAUUACUUGAAACUAUUAGUGAAUAGGUUUUAUAAGUGUUAGUACAUUUGUUUGAAUUGAAUUUGUGAUGCUGUUAGAACUUACUAGGAUGAAACCUUGGAUAUGUCAUGCUAUCAAACUGAAACCUAAUUGCAGAAUAUAUUAAAGUAGCUAGCUACAUGUUAGAAGUCGAAAAAAUUUAGUGAGUUAGAAUGAUGGUUAUAGUAUUCUUGGUGUUAGACAGUUAGUAGGAAGUUGGUUUGGUUACAUGUUGAAUCGCCGUGCUAGUAAAUGCUAGAACUACGCUAUUUAGCUCAAAUGUGUUGGAAGUGUACUGUAAUGGUUAAUUGUUUGUAUCUUAAUUCAAAUAGAAGUGCCUUGCUAGGAGUAUCAAUGAAAUUAG
rnacentral:lncRNA from 1 species